rnacentral:piRNA from 1 species
UNGGCAAGAAGCGGGGAUGCCUGUGCAUGA